UACGUAGGGACCGAGCGUUGUCCGGAAUCAUUGGGCGUAAAGAGCGUGUAGGCGGCCUGUUAAGUCUUGCGUGAAAUCUCGGGGCUCAACCCCGAGCGGUCGUGAGAAACUGGCAGGCUAGAGUGCGGGAGAGGAGAGUGGAAUUCCUGGUGUAGCGGUGAAAUGCGCAGAUAUCUGGAGGAACACCGGUGGCGAAGGCGGCAUUCUGGACCGAUAUUGACGCUGAGGAGCGAAAGCCAGGGGAGCAAACGGG
rnacentral:rRNA from 1 species